rnacentral:rRNA from 1 species
UACGGGGGGAGCAAGCGUUGUUCGGAUUUACUGGGCGUAAAGGGCGCGUAGGCGGUCGUGACAAGUCACUUGUGAAAUCUCCGGGCUUAACUCGGAACGGUCAAGUGAUACUGUCGGACUAGAGUACAGAAGGGGCAACUGGAAUUCUCGGUGUAGCGGUGAAAUGCGUAGAUAUCGAGAGGAACACCUGCGGCGAAGGCGGGUUGCUGGGCUGAUACUGACGCUGAGUCGC